UACAGAGGGGGCAAGCGUUGUUCGGAAUUACUGGGCGUAAAGGGCGCGUAGGCGGCCUUCUAAGUCGAACGUGAAAUCCCUGGGCUCAACCCAGGAACUGCGUCCGAUACUGGAAGGCUUGAAUCCGGGAGAGGGAUGCGGAAUUCCAGGUGUAGCGUUGAAAUGCGUAGAUAUCUGGAGGAACACCGGUGGCGAAGGCGGCAUCCUGGACCGGUAUUGACGCUGAGGCGCGAAAGCCAGGGGAGCAAACGGG
rnacentral:rRNA from 1 species